UUGGAGGAUGUAUAGCGAUAGCUAGUUGCAUUAAAUUCGAUUAAUUCGAAGUUAAUGCACCAUCGACUAUGUCGAAUAAAGUUCUAGGUAGAGUUAUGAUAAUGACAUUUUCUAUCUAUGUGUCUUGACCAAAUCACGUGCCAGCAGUCGCGGUAAUACGUGGAAGACUAGUGUUAUUCAUCUUUAAUAGGUUUAAAGGGUACUUAGACGGUAAAUUUAGCCCAAAUAAAAACAAAGGGUACUAAUUAUACUAGAGUUUUAUAAGAGGAGGGUGCGUACUAAUGGUGUAGAGAUGAAAUUCUGUCAUACCAUUAUGACAGGCAACGGCGAAAGCAACCUUUAUAAAAAAACUGACGUUAAAGGACGAAGGCUUUGUGUCAUCAACAGGAUUAGAUACCCAAGUAGUCGUAGCAGACAAUUAUGAAUGCCAUAGAUAAGAAAGCCUAAGAUAAGAAGGAAAACGUUCUCUUUUUAGAAUAUUAUUUAGAAAUUGUUCUACCUUUUCUAACGAAUUUUUUUAGAAAGAGGAUAGGCUGGAAUUUUAUCUAAAAAUAUUCUUAUUUUUAAUUAAUAAAAAGAGAUAUUUAUUAAUUAAGAAUAUUUAUUUUAAUCUUGAAAAUUACCCACAAGAGAUAGGAUAUAUUUUUGUCUAUAAAUGAAAGUGUAAGCAUUCCACCUCAAGAGUAAUGUGGCAACGCAUAAACUGAAAUCAUUAGACCGUUUCUGAAACCAGUAGUGAAGUAUGUUGUUUAAUUAGAUGGUACGCCAAAAACCUUACCACAAUUUGUAUAUUAUUAGCUUAAUACAAGAGUUGCACGGCUGUCUUCAGUUAAUGUCGUGAGAUUUUGGUUAGUUCCUUAAAAUUAACGUAAACCCUUACUUUAUUUAUAUUAUAAAGUAGUUCGCCGCUAUAUUGGAUAAGAUAAGA
rnacentral:rRNA from 1 species